AGGCAUAUCCGUAGACCUUGCUUGGCUCUGCUUAUGGCCAGGCAGGGGGGACAGUGUAUGCAAGAAUAAUCCGGAGUUUAUGCAAACUCAAACCAGCUUCUUCGGUAGCUGGAUAAAUUGCAGUACUCCCUACAUUU
rnacentral:snoRNA from 17 species